GCAAGUCGAACGAACCUUCGGGUUAGUGGCGGACGGGUGAGUAACGCGUGGGAAUCUGCCCUCAGGAGGGGGAUAACGGCCGGAAACGGCCGCUAAUACCCCAUAUGCCGAGAGGUGAAAUGAAUUUCGCCUGAGGAUGAGCCCGCGUCUGAUUAGCUAGUUGGUAGGGUAAUGGCCUACCAAGACUAUGAUCAAUAGCUGAUUUGAGAGGAUGAUC
rnacentral:rRNA from 1 species